UACGAAGGGGGCUAGCGUUGCUCGGAAUUACUGGGCGUAAAGGGAGCGUAGGCGGAUGUUUAAGUCGGGGGUGAAAGCCCGGGGCUCAACUCUGGAACUGCCCUUGAAACUGGUGACCUUGAGUACGGGAGAGGUGAGUGGAAUUCCCAGUGUAGAGGUGAAAUUCGUAGAUAUUGGGAAGAACACCGGUGGCGAAGGCGGCUCACUGGCCCGUAACUGACGCUCAGGCGCGAUAGCGUGGGGAUCAAACAGG
rnacentral:rRNA from 1 species